rnacentral:misc_RNA from 1 species
GAGUUGGAGUUUAAUGGAGUGAUGAGAUUCUAUUACCAAGCUCAGGAUCUAGCUUCAGGACAAAAGGUUGCGACUAAAUGUAUUCGUGUGUCGAGUACUGCGACAACAAAGUCGAUCAUUGAGACAUUGAUUGAGAAAUUUCGACCAGAUAUGAAAAUGCUGGAGAUGCCAGAGUAUGCUCUUUACGAAAUACACGAGUCAGGCGAGAGACGAUUGGGAUUGGACGAGAAACCCCUGUUGGUUCAGCUGAAUUGGCACAAGGACGAUAGAGAGGGACGAUUUUUACUCAGACGAAUCGACGAAGCCAGCCAGAUGCCCCAGCCCACCCAGGAGGAUUCUUCCUUCAAGAGGAAACUCUCGAAGAGGGAGAAGAAGGCGAUUAAGAAGCAGGAGAAGAAGGAGAAGAAGGAUAAAGAUGGCGGGGGGAAGGAUGAGAGUAUGGCAGAUAAACUCUAUACAGAAUUGCCUGACACAAGUUUUACGCGAAGUAUAUCCAACCCUGAAGCUGUAAUGAGACGAAGGCGACAACAGAAGCUAGAGAAGAAACUUCAACAGUUCAGAUCUAAGGAUGGAGGACCUGAUACUGGUGGUACACUCAAGAUAUAUGGUGACGCAUUGUGUAAGGAUGUUCCCUAUAAGACCCUUCUUCUCUCUAUCCGUGAUACCGCUGCAAUGGUGGUUCUAGAAAUGUUGGAAAAAUAUGGAAUAAAUAAAGGUGAUGCUGGUCAAUACUGUCUCAUACAGUCGAAUCUAACAAUGCCAGAAGAUGGAGGAAUGGGACGUGUUGUAGGAGGUGGGACAACCAGAGAGUGUGUGUUAGAGGACGACGAGUGUCCGUUAGCCAUCCUCAUGAAUCAUCAGUCCGUCAGAGGGGCAAUUACUUUCCACGUCCGUAGAAGACCAAUGGACGGCCGGAGACGGAAAAAGAAAACUUCCUCUAUUGGACAGCUUGACGGUGGACUGCCGUUUCUUGUUGAGUUGACACCUGAGGGCGGAGAAAAUCGAGUUGUCCGCCUUCAGAUGAAUGUUACCGAGGUUGGAAGUGAGGUUGGAGGCGGAGGUGUAGAACUACAGGGUCUUCUACCCCGUCAUUGUGUGAUAGCUCACACCGAGGGAGUGGUAACUGUUACACCCUGUAGUCCAGCUGCUGAGGUUGUUGUUAAUCAACAACGUGUUGUAGAGACAACAAUUCUUCAACAUGGAGCCACACUGAGGUUUGGACGAAGUGUUUGGAGAUUUAUCGACCCAGUGGCAGAUGGUGGACGAAUGCAACCCUCCCAUCAUGGAAGUACCGCCACUCUCCCUGGUGGUAACGAUUUCCAGGCUGGUAUGCGUAAUUCCACCGCCAACUAUGCUCAGUACCCGCCGUUACACCGGGGUAAAGAUGCUAUUUUACCCGCUGUGCUCGAGUUUCGUGAGGACACUGAAAGUGCUUUCUUCAACGCGCUCACGAUGAACCUUGAUCCGGCUAGUGUGAACUUCAAGCUUGCACCAACCUACACCCUCUACAUGGCGACACGCUUUCGUGCAUCUACACACUACAGACCUGAACUAGUUCCUGAAGAGAGAGCAGUUCGUCUCACUGAUAUGCUAAAUAGAGUGGCGGACAAAAUACUCCGCCUCCUUGCUACAGCCCCUGGGGCUAACCAUGCCCCCACCCUCUCCUUCUGGAUGGCAAAUUCAAGCGAGCUUCUACAUUUUCUUAAAUCAGACCGACAUAUUACUGCCUUUAGUUUACAGGCCCAGGAUAUGUUAGCUGAUGCAGUACACAUGGCGUUCAAACAACUUGUCAUAGCUCUCCAAGCAGAUCUAGAGUUAGUCCUCCCUGGGUUGUUAUCCGACAGGGAUGAUGAUGUUGAGAGUUCAACUGCUGGAGUAAUCUCCGUAUUUGCCUCUGCAAUGGGUCUUCUCAGAAAGUGCCGCGUGAAUGCCGCACUCACCAUUCAACUGUUCUCUCAGCUCUUCCAUUUUGUAAACAUGUGGACCUUUAAUAUCAUCGUAACAGACCAGAACCAGAACGGAUACUGUACUCAUAAGUGGGGAUUGAGGCUGAAACGACGGCUUGCUCGGGUCGAAAUAUGGGCUGAGAAGCAAGGUCUUGAACUCGCUGCUGAUUGCCAUCUUGCGCGCAUCAUGCAGACUGCGCACCUGCUUCAGGCGCGUAAAGGAACUGCAGAAGAUAUUGCUACACUUUCCUCAACCUGUUUUAAGCUGAACAGUCAGCAACUAAAGGCUCUCCUACUUCAAUACAAGCCUGCUGAAAAUGAGGCUCCUAUCAGUAAUGAGCUAAUUGAUACUAUUGUCCGUGUUGCUGAGAAUACAGUUGACGAACUGACCAGAGCUGAAGGACGACAGGUUCGCCUGGAGGAGGAUUUCGUCCUUCAGUUGCCAUUCCUGCUUCCUGAGGAUAACUACAGUUGCGAUAUUGUUCGUGGUGUUCCAGGUGGCCUUAUUGAGUUCCUUCAACCUCUCCAGAAUGCUGGUCUCUGCGCUAUGACCCCACAGCCCACCAGUAGUGGACUUUGGACAAUAUACAUGGAUAACCUGCCUCCUCUAGCGACUAGAAGCCCAAGUGAAAUGUCCCAGAUUACAAUUAAUGGAGAGUUUGAUGGGCCCAGUCCACAUCCGGGUUCUCAAAAUGGACAUAAUGGAUAUCCACCAAAUGGUUCUCAAACUGGAUACAAUGGCCCAACAGUUCCUAAUGGUCCAAUGUCGAAUAGGAACAGUCAAGUGAUUGGACCCAAUGGGUAUCCGGUCCCUGUUCCUGGCCAGCCCGGCUUUAUGGGCCAAAAUGGUCCCAUAAUGACUUCCAAUGGACCUAUCACCGCCCACAGUAAUCCCAAUAAUGGUCCAAUUGGAAUGGGGUAUCCUGGAAAAGUUUCCCCUCAAACUCUAGCAGAAGAACCAGAAAUAGAGACAAUACGUCUCUCUAAGACAAAUGGUAUGGGUCUAUCUAUAGUAGCUGCCAAGGGUGUUGGACAGGAGCGGCUAGGAAUCUAUAUAAAAGCUGUUGUAGAAGGUGGAGCAGCUUGGCAAGAUGGUCGAUUAGCUGCUGGAGAUCAGCUACUCACUGUAGAUGGUCAGAGUUUAGUGGGAAUAACGCAGGAGAGAGCAGCAGAAAUAAUGAUGAGAACUGGACCUGUGGUAACUCUUGAGGUGGCAAGGCAGGGAGCCAUAUUUCAUGGACUUGGAACUCUUCUAUCUCAGCCUAGUCCAGUAAUGGGUCGUCAGUACAACACUGGGCCACGAAGGACCAGUGAGAAAGAAAUAAGACCAGGUUCGGUAAAUACUCUUCCAGGACCUGGAAAUCGGAUCCCCCAGUCAAAAAGUACUCCAGCUCUUCACCAGAGCCCAGGCGGGGACUCCCAGCACAACUAUCAGAACCAGGAGUGGUUGCAUCAACAACUCCCCUACAGACCACCUGGAGGAGUUAGAUCCUCGUCUAUACAGAAUCUAGCUCCUCCUAAACCUCCAGCUGUAGGGCCUGAUACUGAUCCAGGAUAUUAUCAGAAUCUGGUGCCUCCGGCCUCAAGAAACAGGUUUGGAUCCCAAACCAGUUUGACCGGAGGACAGCAGCUCCGUGAAAGACCGGCCUCGGCCCACUACCCACGUCAAACAAUAUCUCCACUCUCCCCUGGACCAGAGAAACCUCAGAGACAAUUCUCCUACGAAGGGGACAAUCCUAGGGACGUUAGAGAGAUCCCUAGGGAUGUUAGGGAAGGUUCUAAGGAACCAAUGAGGAUGGAACCAAAUAAACCAAGUCAGAACAGAGUCAGAUUUCAGGAUCCAUCUCAGGAUUUGAAACUAAGUCGAGUUGAAGAGGAGUUUCGAAGAAGGAUAGAGGAAUACUCAGACAGUGAUGAUGAACCAAACAUAUCUACGAUUAAACGGAACGGUGGGAUCCCUGGGCUAGAAGAUGAGAGACGGGGCCAGCAGUCCCAACCUCUACCUGCUCUACCCACCUCCCAACCCCUGCCACCUCUACCUAUCUCCCCGCCUCCACUAGCUACCCCGCCUCUGGCCGGUGCUGCUAGGUUGGAUAUGCUUUUAGGUAAUGGGCAAGGGCGGGCUAGAGCAGAAACGCCCACUAAGCGUGAGCCUAUUCCUACCAGGAAGGAGUUUAACACGCCAACCAAGCGUGUCAGUUUCAACGAUGAUGAAGUCAGAGCACGGGUCAGUUUCCUAGAACAAGAAGAGGAGGAGGAGGAGGAGGAGAAAGAGGAGGGUAGUUACAUGGAGGAGGAGAACAGGAGGAUCGAGAACAAUGUUGAGGAUAAAUAUGAAGAAAGAGCAACCUCACAAGAAAGAUCUGAGGAUCCCAAUGCAUUUAUAAAUGAAGCUGAGAAUUUAUUAAACUCGGCAACUCAUGGAUUAGAACGAUUAGAUUUUACAAGUUCAUCAGGACAUACUCCUUCAGUUAUUGGAACUCAAGAGGUCUACAGGUAAAUUAGAUUUUACAAGUUCAUCAGGGCAUACUCCUUCAGUUAUUGGAACUCAAGAGGUCUACAGGUAAAUUAGAUUUUACAAGUUCAUCAGGACAUACUCCUUCAGUUAUUGGAACUCAAGAGGUCUACAGGGAUCCCCGACAGCGACGGUUACAGCAGGAGCAGGAGCGUAAACUGAGCGCUGUUAGACCA